rnacentral:rRNA from 1 species
UGAGGAAUAUUGCACAAUGGGCGCAAGCCUAAUGCAGCAACGCCGCGUGCGGGACGAAGGCCUUCGGGUCGUAAUCCGCUUUUCUGGGGAAAGAGCAAGGACGGUACCUCAGGAAUAAGUCUCGGCUAACUACGUGCCAGCAGCCGCGGUAAAACGUAGGAGGCGAGCGUUAUCCGGAUUUACUGGGCGUAAAGCGCACGCAGGCGGCUCCGUGAGUCGGACGUGAAAGCUCUCGGCUUAACCGGGAGAGGCCGUUCGAUACUGCGGGGCUUGAGGUAGGGAGAGGAAUGCGGAAUUCCCGGUGUAGUGGUGGAAUGCGUAGAUAUCGGGAGGAACACCUGUGGCGAAAGCGGCAUUCUGGCCCUCACCUGACGCUGAGGUGCGAAAGCGUGGGUAGCAAACAG